UCUGUGGUCAGUGAAGCUGAAGCCCCACUUCCAUGAUGUCUAUCUCCAAGACCUUUCAGAUGUUACUAAGCUAAUAUAAGAAAUACUCCAUAGUCUGAUAGACAUGGAAAUUUAAUUGAGGAAGUCUUCCCCAGUAAAAGGCGUGCUGGAGGUGGUACCUGCAUCAGACACCUUCAGUGCUUAGGGAGAAAUGUGCUGAGGGAGAGAAAGCAUAGAGAUCUGGAAUACAGAGGAAAAGCAUAUAAUCAGAAAUAACAGCUCUCAUCAGGCACAGACAAUAGAUAGCAAACUGGCUUCAGAAAAGAUAUUCAGGCAUCAUGGGAGCCAAAUCAACAGACACAAGUGCUUUCUCUUAGGAGGAUGCUCAUGACAGUUUGAUUACUUGGAAUCUGAGGAGAAAAUGCCCAACCAAAGAAAUCAGUUGACACAGAGGAAAACCAGCAGCACAUUAAAAUAAGAAAACCAGGAGGUUUUGUGAAGGACACAAUUGCGUGUUUGCGUGUUGCUGAAACACAGAGGGAGAGAGGCUGCAUGGAGCUGCUGCUGCAAACAGAGCCCAGGGUAUGUGCACUCCAUCUAUGCCAUUGCAUGCCCAUGGCACUACUGGGAUUGCUGGAGGAGUCCUGUGGAAGAGAAGUCCUCAGGCCUUG